AACUUUCGAUCCUGGUAGAGACGAGGUCAUUUCCAUGAUGUCUCUUAAGUAUUCUUUAAAGAGGGUGUACUGUGGGCUCCAAUAGCCAAAUUCAGAAUAUCUUGCUGUGCUACAUAGGAAUAAAAAAUGGCUGACGUGAAAUUAGUCCUGAAGAAAUGUUUCCCUUCGCUCUCACUCAAUAAAAGUUUCCCUAAAACUUACAUGAAACUCUGAAAAGCCAUAACUAAUCAAGUUAUUGUCCCUACUUUAUAAUCGUUCUCGUUUUUAAGACCACUGAGCCAUGUUUCUAUUCUGUUCUCGGGUUUCUGAGGUGUGCAUAACAGCCGCACCAGCAGGGGGCAGCAGCGGGCGCCCGCUCCGUUUCCGUUGGUAACCUCCCUGGCAACAGGCUGAGCUGACAAACAACAUCCGCCCGGUCUGCAUCCUCAUCACCUCCAGGUGAAACUGACGAGAGGAUUUUCUCCUCCGUGACGCCGCAGUUCGAUGUCUGACAUGGAGAACCCGCCGACCGGAGAGCCGCGCUACCUGAAGAGGAGGGUGAAGGGAUGCUCUCUGGACGUUCACCCCACUGAGAAGGCUCUGGUGCUCCAGUAUGAGGUGGAGGCGACCAUACUGGGAGAACUGGGAGAACCGAUGGUUGAAGAGCGAAAAGACUGUCAGAAGAUGAUCCGCCUGAAGAGCCUGAACGCCAACACGGACACGGCUUCUCUGGCCCAGAAGGUGGUGGAGGAAUGUCACCUGAUCCAUCCGUCCAAGCUGGCCGAGGUGGAGCAGCUGCUCUUCUACCUGCAGAACCGGAAACAGAGCAGCGACAACCAGGAGAAGAAGAACAUCUCGCCUCGGGACUUCACGCCGUACACCGGAGUGGAGCUGGACGAGGAGGCGAGCAUCGGCAGCAUCGACGAGUACGUGGAGCUGCUGUACGAAGACAUCCAGGAGAAGAUCCGCGGCGCCGCGCUCAUCUUCCAGCUGGCCCGUAACCAGGACAACCUGGAGGAGCUGAUGCAGCAAGAGGUGGUACUGGGAGCGCUGGCCAGAGUGCUGAGAGAGGACUGGAAGCAGAGCGUUGACCUGGCAACCACCAUCGUUUCCGUCUUCUUCUGUUUCUCCAGCUUCUCCCAGUUCCACAGCCUGGUGACCCACUUCAAGAUCGGCGCCCUCUGCAUGAACAUCAUGGAGCACGAGCUGAAGCGCUUCGAGUUGUGGCAGGACGAGCUGCAGAAGAAGAAGAAGGCCGCUGACGAGUUCCCCGACAACCAGAGUCUGAGGAAGGAUCACGACAAGUCGCUGAGGAAGUACCAGAGUCUGCUGGCCAAGCAGGAGCAGCUGCUCAAAGUGUCUCUGUAUCUGCUGCUGAAUCUGGCUGAGGACACGCGGACGGAGCUGAAGAUGAGGAACAAAAACAUCGUCCAGAUGCUGGUGACGCUGCUGGAGCGCGACGACCAGGAGCUGCUGCUGGUGGCCGUGUGCUUCCUGAAGAAGCUCUCCAUCUUCCUGGAGAACAAGAACGACAUGGCGGAGGCGGCCGCCGUGGAGAAGCUGGCCCGCCUGCUGCCCUGCGCCCACCGGGAGCUCCAGAGCGCCACCUGUCGGCUGCUGCUCAACCUGUCCUUCGACGCGGCGCUGCGCGGCCAGAUGGUCCAGGCCGGCCUCCUUCCCAGGCUCUCCUGUCUGCUGGCUGACGAGGCGCAGAGGCAGCUGGCCAUGUGCGUCCUGUACCACAUCAGCAUGGACGACAGAUUCAAGCCCAUGUUUGCUCACAGCGACUGCAUACCGCAGCUGAUGAAGAUGAUGCUGGGCAGUGAGGAGCAGCUGGACGUGGCGCUCGUCUCGCUCUGCAUCAACCUGGCCGCCAACCGGAGCAACGCUCAGGUGUUCUGUGAAGGGAACGGCCUGAAGCUGCUGAUGCGGCGGGCUCUGAAGCUGAAGGACGUUCUGGUGAUGAAGAUGAUCAGGAACCUGUCUCAACAUGGCGGAGCCACCAAGAACCUGUUCCUGGACCACGUUGGCGACCUGGCGGCCCAGAUCGGCGAAGACGAGGCCGAAGAGUUUGUGAUCGAGUGCCUGGGAACCCUGGCCAACCUGACCAUCCCGGACCUGGACUGGGAGUUGGUUCUGAGGGAGUACGACCUGGUUCCGUACCUGAAGCGGCGCCUGAAGCCAGGCUCAGCUGAAGACGACCUGAUCCUGGAGGUCGUCAUCCUGAUCGGCACCGUCUCCACGGACGAUUCCUGUGCCGCCAUGUUGGCCAAAUCCGGCAUCAUUCCUGCUCUCAUCGAUCUCCUUAACGCCCAGCAGGAGGACGACGAGUUUGUCUGCCAGAUCCUCUACGUCUUCUACCAGAUGGCGUUCCACAAGGAGACCAGAGACGUCAUCAUCAAAGACACGCAAGCUCCAGCGUACUUCGUCGACCUGAUGCACGACGACAACGCGGCCAUCCGCCGAGUGUGUGACAACACCCUGGACAUCAUAGCGCCGAGUCGUCUGUCCCGCUUCGCCUCUCCUCAGGAAUACGACGAGGAGUGGGCGAAGAAGAUCCAGACGGCGAAGUUCUGCUACUACAACAGCCAGUGGCUGGAGAUGGUGGAGAACCGCCUGCUGGACGAGCCUUUCUGGUCCGGAGACGACGGGGAGUCCUUCAGCGGGAACCGGGACGUGCUGGAGCGGCCGGACCUGUUCUACGCCGCAGACGGGAUUCUCUCCGGAGACGGAUCCAUCAGCCCCAGUUUCUACGCAGACAUCCAGAGCAGCGAGCUGGGAGAGGCCGGAAACCUGAGCAGCAGUUUGGACCAGUUCGUCCCGUCGGUUCCGGUUCUGGUGGACCGACCCGUCAGCGACCGGAGUUUCCGACCCGAUGAGCGGUUCUUCUACAGCUACACCGCCAACGCUUCCCAGUGAAGCCGGAUCCUUCCCCGUGGUCUCAGACUUGGACUAGGCCUUCUGGUUUUUACUCUGUGUCUCUGUAACAAACCAGAACCUGGAUGGGAUCUGGUCCGUCUUAAACCUGCGCUGAGACUGAAGGAUCCAGAGGCCGGUAACCUGGGCUUACCUGGUCCGUUACCGUGGCAACUGCAGCCAGGCAACCAAGAUGCCCCUGAUCAAAACAAGUAGAAGCAAAGAUCUGGAUGUUCGGCAGAACCAGAACCGGGCCAAAAGAGAACCUUUAAAUUUCCGCAGGAGAUCAUAAAAAGGUAGAUUUUGAUUUUAGAUAAAUUGAAAAUAUUUAAGAUUUAAGGAAUAAAGAGCAGCUGAUGUGUCAGACAUAAAUAUAUUCAUUACAUGUAUUUAAUGUUAUUAAUCUGGAUUAUUUAAAUUAUAAAUGACAUUUUGAAUUAAAGAGGAAAAAACUCCAGCAGUGAAAAUAAAAACUAUUUUAUGUUUUUUCUGUUUUUAUGGAUUCAAUAUUUUGACUUAAUAUUUUGUCCAAAAUGUUCCGACUGUGAGGACGUCUCCGGUCCGCCGUCCUGUCCAGGCGGCGCCACAGGAAUCCGACCCGGUCCGAUCUGACCUGAUCCGGACUGACCCGGUCCGGACUGACCCGCUCCGAUCUGACCCGGUCCAGACUGACCUGAUCCGACCCGGUCCAAUCUGACCCGGUCCAGAUCUUUAAAAAUGUCUGGCUGAAUUCACUCUUGCCUUUUGGCCUCGUUGGUUCUGAUGCAGCGGGUCCAGUGUUUAUGGGUGUCCAAAGUGCGGCGCGGGGGCCGUUUCCUGGACAGAUUCGUCUCCCGGGUUUGAUGCCAGACUUUUUUUCUUGAAUGUGGCCGAUGACGAUAAAACGCUUUCUAUGGCAACAAACAGGAAAACACUGAAAAUCACUUCGACUCGAUCUGCUUUCAGUUUAUUCAACAUAAAACAACAAGAGUCAGCCUGAAACCUUCAUGUUUUAUUGUUAAGCUUUAAUACAGACAGACGCCUGUUGGUUCAGGAACAGGAGGAAAUGUUCUGGUUCUGACCCAACCGAACAGAAUCCUGCUGAUCGUUUCGCUUCUUCUGCACACGUUCAGUCCGACUGCAGAGCUUCAGUUUACCCGGCGCGUCUAUAACUGAGAAAUGAGUUUAUGUGUAAUAAAUGUUGAUUCAGA